UACGUAGGGUGCGAGCGUUAAUCGGAAUUACUGGGCGUAAAGCGUGCGCAGGCGGUUAUGUAAGACAGGUGUGAAAUCCCCGGGCUUAACCUGGGAACUGCAUUUUGUGACUGCAUAGCUAGAGUACGGUAGAGGGGGGUAGAAUUCCACGUGUAGCAGUGAAAAUGCGUAGAGAUGUGGAGGAAUACCGAUGGCGAAGGCAGCCCCCUGGGCCAAUACUGACGCUCAUGCACGAAAGCGUGGGGAGCAAACAGG
rnacentral:rRNA from 1 species